AUUGAACGCUGGCGGCAUGCCUUACACAUGCAAGUCGAACGGCAGCACGGGUGCUUGCACCUGGUGGCGAGUGGCGAACGGGUGAGUAAUACAUCGGAACAUGUCCUGUAGUGGGGGAUAGCCCGGCGAAAGCCGGAUUAAUACCGCAUACGAUCUACGGAUGAAAGCGGGGGACCUUGGGGCCUCGCGCUAUAGGGUUGGCCGAUGGCUGAUUAGCUAGUUGGGGGGGUAAAGGCCUACCAAGGCGGCGAUCAGUAGCUGAUCUGAGAGGGCGACCAGCGACACUGGGACUGAGACACGGCCCAGACUCCUACGGGAGGCAGCAGUGGGGAAUUUUGGACAAUGGGGGAAAGCCUGAUCCAGCAAUGCCGCGUGUGUGAAGAAGGCCUUCGGGUUGUAAAGCACUUUUGUCCGGAAAGAAAUCCUUGGGCCUAAUACGGUCGGGGGAUGACGGUACCGGAAGAAUAAGCACCGGCUAACUACGUG
rnacentral:rRNA from 1 species